UACGAAGGUCCCAAGCGUUGUUCGGAUUUACUGGGCGUAAAGCGCGCGUAGGCGGCUCACCAAGUCGGGCGUGAAAGCCCCGGGCUCAACCCGGGAAAUGCGCUCGAAACUUGUGAGCUGGAGGCCGGAAGAGGGUAGUGGAAUUCCCAGUGUAGAGGUGAAAUUCGUAGAUAUUGGGAAGAGCACCAGUGGCGAAGGCGGCUACCUGGUCCGGAUCUGACGCUGAGGCGCGAAAGCGUGGGGAGCAAACAGG
rnacentral:rRNA from 1 species